GCUUACGGCCAUACCACACUGAACACGCCCGAUCUCGUCCGAUCUCGGAAGCUAAGCAGGGUCGGGCCUGGUUAGUACUUGGAUGGGAGACCGCCUGGGAAUACCAGGUGCUGUAAGCU
rnacentral:rRNA from 1 species